AAAUUGAAGAGUUUGAUCAUGGCUCAGAUUGAACGCUGGCGGCAGGCCUAACACAUGCAAGUCGAACGGUAACAGAAAGCAGCUUGCUGCUUUGCUGACGAGUGGCGGACGGGUGAGUAAUGUCUGGGAAACUGCCCGAUGGAGGGGGAUAACUACUGGAAACGGUAGCUAAUACCGCAUAACGUCGCAAGACCAAAGAGGGGGACCUUCGGGCCUCUUGCCAUCGGAUGUGCCCAGAUGGGAUUAGCUAGUAGGUG
rnacentral:rRNA from 1 species